AAGCUCGUAGUUGAAUUUCGAAUGUGGCUGGGCGGUCCGCCUCACGGUGUGUACUGUCUGGCUGUGUUCUCUUUCUUGGUGAGCCGGCAUGCCCUUUACUGGGUGUGUUGGGGAACCAGGACGUUUACCUUGAGGAAAUUAGAGUGUUCAAAGCAGGCCUACGCCCGAAUACAUUAGCAUGGCAUAAUAAAAUAGGACGUGCGGUUCUAUUUUGUUGGUUUCUAGAGCCGCAGUAAUGAUUAAUAGGGAUAGUUGGG
rnacentral:rRNA from 1 species